rnacentral:ncRNA from 1 species
GAGAGCCAAAUGAAUCGAAAGGUUCAUGUUUGGUUCAAUUACGUAUGAACGAAAUACAGACUUGAUUUUAAUUGAAAACAUGAUCGAUUAAGGC